CAAGAACCGAGUGGUGAGAAUGAUAUUACUACUGUCGAGUCGUUGCAAUUUGAUUUUGCUACCAUCCAAGCAGCCACGAGCAAUUUCUCCGAUGAUCACAAGUUAGGCGAAGGUGGUUUCGGUCAAGUUUACAAGGGUAUACUAUCAGACAGUCAAGUAGCUGUA